rnacentral:tRNA from 1 species
GUUCCCAUAGUUCAAUUGGAUAGUAACAUCUGCCCUCUAAGCAGAGACUCCCAGUUCGAGUCUGGGUGGGAACA